rnacentral:rRNA from 1 species
GAUCAUGGCUCAGGAUGAACGCUGGCGGCGUGCCUAACACAUGCAAGUCGAACGAAGCAAUUAAGAUGAAGUUUUCGGAUGGAAUCUUGAUUGACUGAGUGGCGGACGGGUGAGUAACGCGUGGAUAACCUGCCUCACACUGGGGGAUAACAGUUAGAAAUGACUGCUAAUACCGCAUAAGCGCACAGUGCCGCAUGGCAGUGUGUGAAAAACUCCGGUGGUGUG